AUGGGGGUCCCCAAGGUGGACAUGGGGGUCCCACUGGUGACUAUGGGGGUCCCAUUGGUGGUCCUGACCCCAUUGGUGGCACUGGGGGUCCCUUUGGUGGCCAUGGGGGUCCCAUUAAUGACUAUGAUGGUCCCAUUGGUGGAGAUGGGGGUCCCAUUGGUGGUCCUGGGGGUCCUAUUGGUGGCCCUGGGGGUCCCCAAGGUGGCCAUGGGGGUCCCAUUGGUGACUAUGGGGGUCCCAUUGGUGGUCCUGUCCCCAUUGGUGGCCCUGGGGGUCCCCAAGGUGGCCCUGGGGGUCCCCAAGGUGGACAUGGGGGUCCCAUUGGUGACUAUGGGGGUCCCAUUGGUGGUCCCAUUCCCAAGGUGGCCAUGGGGAUCCUAUUGGUUGUCCUGGGGGUCCCCAUUUAGUGGCUCUGGGGGUCCCAUAGGUGGUCCCAUCCCAUUAGUGGCCCUGGGGGGUUUCAUUGGUGGCACAGGGGGUCCUCAAGGUGGUCCUGUCCCCAUUGGGGUCCCAUUUAGUGGCAUUGGGGACCCUUUGGCGUCCCUAUGGUGUCCCUAUAGUGGCCAUAGGGUCCCAUUAGGUGGCACUGGGGACCCUUUAUUGUUCCUAUGGUGUCCCUGUAUUGGCCAUUGGGUCCCAUUAGGUGGCAUUGGGGUCCCUAUGGUGUCCCUAUAGUGGCCAUAGGGUCCCUAUAGUGGCCUUAGGGUCCCAUUAGGUGGCAUUAGGGUCCCUAUAGUGUCCCUAUGGUGUCCCUAUGGCGUCCCUAUAGUGGCCAUAGGGUC
rnacentral:lncRNA from 1 species